UUUCUGCUUCGGCAGGACAUAUACUAAAACUGGAAAGAUACAAGGAAGAUGAGCAUGGCCUCUGAGCAACGAUGACACACAAGUUCGUGAAGAAACAGAAUCUUAG
ensembl:snRNA U6 U6 spliceosomal RNA